AUAAUUACGUACGAGCGACUGCUUACAUUCCGUGUCACGAGAAGUUCAUGUUACCUGCGCUAAGGGCGAGCUUCGCUUCACUUUUGAACUCGUGACAUAUUUUCUCGCUUUUUAGCACUCUAUAUAUUAGUGUCGCUUUUAUGUGUUGUUUAUUGAUAUUCAUGGUGGUACCUGUUUCAUUUUCUAGGUGUGACGUAUGGCGGAAUUACGCCCAAAGAGCAGAUCUUGAGGGACUCGCACGGGAGCAAAUGUACAACGGCUACCGCCUCUGCUCGGACCACUUCGCUGAAAAUGCCUACGCCGACCCUGCCAAAACACGACUCCUGUGGACGGCUGUUCCCACUGCUGCAGUGGAAGUGGGGUCCCCGAUCGACGAGGGACCCUCCCGGGCAGAAGCCACAGAAGCCACGGCUGGUUCGGCUCAAGACCACCCUGCCGGCCAAAAGAGCGUCGUCCAGGUUGUAGAAGAUGGCCCCGAAACAGCCAGCACAGUCUCCCCUGGAUCGGCCUCUCAUGCAGAUAAUGGUAAGUGUAUGCUAGAAAUAAUGCUAAAUAUCAUUAAAUGCAUUUUUUUUUUGCAAAUAGCCAGCAUUCGUUAAGUUUUGCAACUUGUAUGCCU